UUAAGCGACUAAGCGUACACGGUGGAUGCCCUGGCAGUCAGAGGCGAUGAAGGACGUGCUAAUCUGCGAAAAGCGUCGGUAAGGUGAUAUGAACCGUUAUAACCGGCGAUGUCCGAAUGGGGAAACCCAGUGUGAUUCGUCACACUAUCGUUAACUGAAUACAUAGGUUAACGAGGCGAACCGGGGGAACUGAAACAUCUAAGUACCCCGAGGAAAAGAAAUCAACCGAGAUUCCCCCAGUAGCGGCGAGCGAACGGGGAGCAGCCCAGAGUCUGAAUCAGCUUGUGUGUUAGUGGAACGGUCUGGAAAGUCCGACGGUACAGGGUGAUAGUCCCGUACACCAAAAUGCACAGGUUGUGAACUCGAAGAGUAGGGCGGGACACGUGGUAUCCUGUCUGAAUAUGGGGGGACCAUCCUCCAAGGCUAAAUACUCCUGACUGACCGAUAGUGAACCAGUACCGUGAGGGAAAGGCGAAAAGAACCCCGGCGAGGGGAGUGAAAAAGAACCUGAAACCGUGUACGUACAAGCAGUGGGAGCACCUUCGGGUGUGACUGCGUACCUUUUGUAUAAUGGGUCAGCGACUUAUAUUCUGUAGCAAGGUUAACCGUAUAGGGGAGCCGCAGGGAAACCGAGUCUUAACUGGGCGUUAAGUUGCAGGGUAUAGACCCGAAACCCGGUGAUCUAGCCAUGGGCAGGUUGAAGGUUGGGUAACACUAACUGGAGGACCGAACCGACUAAUGUUGAAAAAUUAGCGGAUGACUUGUGGCUGGGGGUGAAAGGCCAAUCAAACCGGGAGAUAGCUGGUUCUCCCCGAAAGCUAUUUAGGUAGCGCCUCGUGAAUUCAUCUUCGGGGGUAGAGCACUGUUUCGGCUAGGGGGUCAUCCCGACUUACCAACCCGAUGCAAACUACGAAUACCGAAGAAUGUUAUCACGGGAGACACACGGCGGGUGCUAACGUCCGUCGUGAAGAGGGAAACAACCCAGACCGCCAGCUAAGGUCCCAAAGUCAUGGUUAAGUGGGAAACGAUGUGGGAAGGCACAGACAGCCAGGAUGUUGGCUUAGAAGCAGCCAUCAUUUAAAGAAAGCGUAAUAGCUCACUGGUCGAGUCGGCCUGCGCGGAAGAUGUAACGGGGCUAAACCAUGCACCGAAGCUGCGGCAGCGACACUAUGUGUUGUUGGGUAGGGGAGCGUUCUGUAAGCCUGCGAAGGUGACCUGUGAGGGUUGCUGGAGGUAUCAGAAGUGCGAAUGCUGACAUAAGUAACGAUAAAGCGGGUGAAAAGCCCGCUCGCCGGAAGACCAAGGGUUCCUGUCCAACGUUAAUCGGGGCAGGGUGAGUCGACCCCUAAGGCGAGGCCGAAAGGCGUAGUCGAUGGGAAACAGGUUAAUAUUCCUGUACUUGGUGUUACUGCGAAGGGGGGACGGAGAAGGCUAUGUUAGCCGGGCGACGGUUGUCCCGGUUUAAGCAUGUAGGCUGAUUGUCCAGGCAAAUCCGGAUAAUCAAGGCUGAGGUGUGAUGACGAGGCACUACGGUGCUGAAGUAACAAAUGCCCUGCUUCCAGGAAAAGCCUCUAAGCAUCAGGUAACAUCAAAUCGUACCCCAAACCGACACAGGUGGUCAGGUAGAGAAUACCAAGGCGCUUGAGAGAACUCGGGUGAAGGAACUAGGCAAAAUGGUGCCGUAACUUCGGGAGAAGGCACGCUGGUGUGUAGGUGAAGCCCCUGCGGGUAGAGCUGAGACCAGUCGAAGAUACCAGCUGGCUGCAACUGUUUAUUAAAAACACAGCACUGUGCAAACACGAAAGUGGACGUAUACGGUGUGACGCCUGCCCGGUGCCGGAAGGUUAAUUGAUGGGGUUAUCCGUAAGGAGAAGCUCUUGAUCGAAGCCCCGGUAAACGGCGGCCGUAACUAUAACGGUCCUAAGGUAGCGAAAUUCCUUGUCGGGUAAGUUCCGACCUGCACGAAUGGCGUAAUGAUGGCCAGGCUGUCUCCACCCGAGACUCAGUGAAAUUGAACUCGCUGUGAAGAUGCAGUGUACCCGCGGCAAGACGGAAAGACCCCGUGAACCUUUACUAUAGCUUGACACUGAACAUUGAGCCUUGAUGUGUAGGAUAGGUGGGAGGCUUUGAAGCGUGGACGCCAGUCUGCGUGGAGCCAACCUUGAAAUACCACCCUUUAAUGUUUGAUGUUCUAACGUUGGCCCCUUACCGGGGUUGCGGACAGUGUCUGGUGGGUAGUUUGACUGGGGCGGUCUCCUCCCAAAGCGUAACGGAGGAGCACGAAGGUUAGCUAAUCCUGGUCGGACAUCAGGAGGUUAGUGCAAUGGCAUAAGCUAGCUUGACUGCGAGCGUGACGGCGCGAGCAGGUGCGAAAGCAGGUCAUAGUGAUCCGGUGGUUCUGAAUGGAAGGGCCAUCGCUCAACGGAUAAAAGGUACUCCGGGGAUAACAGGCUGAUACCGCCCAAGAGUUCAUAUCGACGGCGGUGUUUGGCACCUCGAUGUCGGCUCAUCACAUCCUGGGGCUGAAGUAGGUCCCAAGGGUAUGGCUGUUCGCCAUUUAAAGUGGUACGCGAGCUGGGUUUAGAACGUCGUGAGACAGUUCGGUCCCUAUCUGCCGUGGGCGCUGGAGAAUUGAGGGGGGCUGCUCCUAGUACGAGAGGACCGGAGUGGACGCAUCACUGGUGUUCGGGUUGUCAUGCCAAUGGCACUGCCCGGUAGCUAAAUGCGGAAGAGAUAAGUGCUGAAAGCAUCUAAGCACGAAACUUGCCCCGAGAUGAGUUCUCCCUGAGACUUUAAGUCUCCUGAAGGAACGUUGAAGACGACGACGUUGAUAGGCCGGGUGUGUAAGCGCAGCGAUGCGUUGAGCUAACCGGUACUAAUGAACCGUGAGGCUUAACCUU
rnacentral:rRNA from 1 species